rnacentral:rRNA from 1 species
ACUGCAUGGUUCUUUUUUGAAAGAUGGUUUCGGCUAUCACUUACAGAUGGGCCCGCGGCGCAUUAGCUAGUUGGUGGGGUAACGGCUCACCAAGGCGACGAUGCGUAGCCGACCUGAGAGGGUGAUCGGCCACACUGGGACUGAGACACGGCCCAGACUCCUACGGGAGGCAGCAGUAGGGAAUCUUCCGCAAUGGACGAAAGUCUGACGGAGCAACGCCGCGUGAGUGAUGAAGGUUUUCGGAUCGUAAAACUCUGUUGUUAGGGAAGAACAAGUGCCGUUCGAAAGGGCGGCACCUUGACGGUACCUAACGAGAAAGCCACGGCUAACUACGUGCCAGCAGCCGCGGUAAUACGUAGGUGGCAAGCGUUGUCCGGAAUUAUUGGGCGUAAAGCGCGCGCAGGCGGUCUCUUAAGUCUGAUGUGAAAGCCCCCGGCUCAACCGGGGAGGGUCAUUGGAAACUGGGAGACUUGAGUACAGAAGAGGAGAGUGGAAUUCCACGUGUAGCGGUGAAAUGCGUAGAGAUGUGGAGGAACACCAGUGGCGAAGGCGACUCUCUGGUCUGUAACUGACGCUGAGGCGCGAAAGCGUGGGGAGCAAACAGGAUUAGAUACCCUGGUAGUCCACGCCGUAAACGAUGAGUGCUAGGUGUUAGGGGUUUCGAYGCCCUUAGUGCCGAAGUUAACACAUUAAGCACUCCGCCUGGGGAGUACGACCGCAAGGUUGAAACUCAAAGGAAUUGACGGGGGCCCGCACAAGCAGUGGAGCAUGUGGUUUAAUUCGAAGCAACGCGAAGAACCUUACCAGGUCUUGACAUCCUUUGACCACCCUAGAGAUAGGGCUUUCCCCUUCGGGGGACAAAGUGACAGGUGGUGCAUGGUUGUCGUCAGCUCGUGUCGUGAGAUGUUGGGUUAAGUCCCGCAACGAGCGCAACCCUUGACCUUAGUUGCCAGCAUUCAGUUGGGCACUCUAAGGUGACUGCCGGUGACAAACCGGAGGAAGGUGGGGAUGACGUCAAAUCAUCAUGCCCCUUAUGACCUGGGCUACACACGUGCUACAAUGGAUGGUACAAAGGGUUGCGAAGCCGCGAGGUGAAGCCAAUCCCAGAAAGCCAUUCUCAGUUCGGAUUGCAGGCUGCAACUCGCCUGCAUGAAGCCGGAAUUGCUAGUAAUCGCGGAUCAGCAUGCCGCGGUGA